AGUAGCCGCGGGAAUACGGAGGGGGCUAGCGUUGUUCGGAAUUACUGGGCGUAAAGCGCACGUAGGCGGAUACUUAAGUUAGGGGUGAAAUCCCAGGGCUCAACCCUGGGACUGCCUUUAAUACUGGGUAUCUAGAGUAUGGUAGAGGUGAGUGGAAUUCCGAGUGUAGAGGUGAAAUUCGUAGAUAUUCGGAGGAACACCAGUGGCGAAGGCGGCUCACUGGACCAUUACUGACGCUGAGGUGCGAAAGCGUGGGGAGCAAACAGGAUUAGAUACCCCGGUAGUCCCUGUCUCUUAUACA
rnacentral:rRNA from 1 species